GACAGAGGGUGCAAACGUUGUUCGGAAUUACUGGGCGUAAAGCGAGUGUAGGCGGUUUGGUAAGUCGGAUGUGAAAGCCCCGGGCUCAACCCGGGAAGUGCACUCGAUACUGCCAGGCUAGAGUAUCGGAGAGGUAGCUGGAAUUCUUGGUGUAGCAGUGAAAUGCGUAGAGAUCAAGAGGAACACUCGUGGCGAAAGCGAGCUACUGGACAAUUCCUGACGCUGAGGCUCGAAGGCUAGGGUAGCGAAAGGG
rnacentral:rRNA from 1 species